UUAUACGAGAGGCCCAAGUUGAUGAAAAACGGCGUAAAGCGUGGUUAAGAAAACAAGAAAAAUAGGGCCGAACAGCCUCAAAGCAGUUAUACGCAUUCGAGGCCACGAAGCUCAAUCACGAAAGUGGCCCUACAAAUCUCUGAUUCCACGAAAGCCAUAAAACAAACUGGGAUUAGAUACCCCACUAUGUAUGGUUGUUAACAUUGAUGGUUUUAUACUUAAACCAUCCGCCUGGGU
rnacentral:rRNA from 1 species